rnacentral:rRNA from 1 species
UACGUAGGCAGCGAGCGUUGUUUCGGAGUUACUGGGCGUAAAGAGUGCGUAGGCGGUUUUCUAAGUUUGGUGUGAAAUCUCCCGGCUUAACUGGGAGGGUGCGCCGAAAACUGGAAGGCUUGAGUAUGGGAGAGGUAAGCGGAAUUCCUGGUGUAGCGGUGAAAUGCGUAGAUAUCAGGAGGAACACCUGCGGUGUAGACGGCUUACUGGACCAUAACUGACGCUGAGGCACGAAAGCGUGGGUAGCAAACAGG